rnacentral:rRNA from 1 species
GACGAACGCUGGCGGCGUGCUUAACACAUGCAAGUCGAACGGAAAGGCUCCAGCUUGCUGGAGUACUCGAGUGGCAAACGGGUGAGUAACACGUGGGUAAUCUGCCCUGCACUCUGGGAUAAGCCUGGGAAACUGGGUCUAAUACUGGAUAUGACCUUUCUCCUUAUGGGGUUUGGUGGAAAGUUUUUCGGUGUAGGAUGAGCCCGCGGCCUAUCAGCUUGUUGGUGGGGUGAUGGCCUACCAAGGCGACGACGGGUAGCCGGCCUGAGAGGGUGAUCGGCCACAUUGGGACUGAGAUACGGCCCAGACUCCUACGGGAGGCAGCAGUGGGGAAUAUUGCACAAUGGGCGGAAGCCUGAUGCAGCGACGCCGCGUGAGGGAUGACGGCCUUCGGGUUGUAAACCUCUUUCAGCAGGGACGAAGCGUAAGUGACGGUACCUGCAGAAGAAGCACCGGCUAACUAUGUG